AUAAGAAGAAUCCAAUAACACCGUAAUCAUGAAAGAUUUAGGUAUUCAAUCAAUGUAAUGGAAAAGAGAGCGUAUGAUUUUUCACUACGAUAAG
rnacentral:lncRNA from 1 species